UGUGUGGCCAGGCAUCCAUUAAUCAUCUUAGAAUUCUAUUCAUAUAUGAAUCGAAUAUGUCGUCCUCCUUUUCUAUACAGCUGAUGCUCAAUGUGUGGCCAGGCUUCCCGGCAAGAAUAUCCGAGUCAUACAACCAAAACCCCCAUGCCCCAAAAUGAAGGGGAAGGUAGUCAAAUCUCUUGGGAUAGUUGGGAAUGUAGUACAUAAUUCUGACUCUGAAAUUUGGAUUCUAUAACCUCAUAGAUGCCACAACAUUAGAAACUACAGUAAUGGAAUCUUUGCAAACUAGGGUUACUAACUGAUGUUCGAGAAAGAUGCGAGGUUUAGCUAAGUGGGAUGGCAAUGCCUCAUUGUUAUAAAUUGUUUCAAAUGGUUUCAAUAAUUGAACUGAAUCAAGGAGAAGAUGGAGUUCACAGAUUCGCCACUUUACACCACAGUACCAAUGCCAAUUGCAAAGAUAAACAGAGUUUAUGGAUGCGUAUAUUUUUGUGCAAUUCUGGGGCUUAUAUAUUAUCGGAUCCAUUAUAUGCCAAGUGAAGGAUAUGUACCGUGGAUGCUGCUAUUUUGUGCAGAGCUAGGUUUGGCCUUCCAGUGGGUAUUAGAGAUGAGCUUCAAGUGGAGGCCUGUGGAUCGAUUUACCUACCCAGAAAGACUCUCUAAAAGGUAGAUAAUUAAACAGAUGAAAUUUGCCCAGAUUGUCAUAUUAGGUUGCUAUAUUUUUAGAUUUAAUGGUAUAAUUUUUUUUUUUCAUCAACAUGAUCCACCUUCCUUCAGAAUGAGAUAACAAAUGACCAACAUGUUUAUAUAAAUAUGGGUUAGGUUUCUUAUAAGAUUGAGAAACGUGUUUCCCUGAGAGUAAUAUGAUUAUGCUUGUUCAUGAACAAGUUUGGGAGGGAGCUACCUCCCAUUGAUAUAUUUAUAUGCACGGCUGACCCUGAUAAAGAACCUCCACUGGAUGUUUCAAACACUGUAUUGUCUACGCUGGCUUUUAAUUAUCCAAUAGAAAAAUUGACAUGUUAUGUAUUGGAUGAUGGAGGAUCCCCACUCACCUUUUAUGCUCUGUUGGAAGCUUCACGUUUUGCAAAGAGUUGGGUUCCUUUUUGCCACAAGUAUUCUAUUCAGCAGAGAUGCCCAGAAGCAUAUUUUUCUGAAUGUUAUGGCAAUGAAAGUGACAGCUCGUUCACUACAUAAUGGGAAAAUGUCAAGAAAUUGUACGAGGAAAUGAAAUAUUGUAUAAAUACAAGUGUUGAAAGAGGCAUUGCUCCAGAACAUAAAUAUAAAGAAGACUAUGGUUUGAAAGAAUGGAAACCGGAGAUGACUUCACGAGACCACCCGAGUAUAGUUCAGAUUUUGCUGGAAAGGGUCAAAGACAUUAACGUUGAGGGCCAUGAUUUGCCCAGUCUUGUUUAUGUGUCCCGUGAAAAGCGACCUGGACACCCCCAUAAUUUUAAGGCCGGUGCCCUUAAUUUUCUGGUAAUAACAAAUAUCCCUGAUUCCAUCUCAUUUUUCUGUUAUGUUGUCUGUGGAUUAUGAUUUGUGUAGAUUUUGAAAUACACAAACAAUACGUAGAAAAUUGCUACAGGUUCAAAUUGAUUACAUCAUGUCUGGAUAUAGGACUUCCUUUGAGACUCAAUAACAGGGGGAUCUCUAUGUUGAGAUGACAGCCCUUAACUUCAAUUGGACUUGUUUGUUCUAUGCAUCAAGUAUGGAACAAAUUAAAUGCAUGAGAUGCAUCACAUACCAUCAUGCUUCUAUUUGAUGCCGAGCAAACCCAUUUGAAGUGUUAAAAAAUCAAACCUCUGAAAUUCGCUGUUCAACAUUAUCAUCAUUUUAGUUUAAUAAAUCUAUUUAAGGGAGAGGAUCUAGUAGUUGACUGUGUUUCAAUUAUUGUGAUAGUAGUUGUUGAUUUAAUACACAUAUUAAUUAAUUUAAUGUCCAUUUUUUUUAACAACAUUGCACUAAUAGUUAUGAAUUUAAUAUCCAUAUUGAAUGAAAUGUACCCUUUAGUUGUAAAAAACAAUCAAUCAUGUGAUGACACAUCAGCUGCACAAGCAUGGGGCCCCUUAUGCGCAACUAUUGGUCUCACCUAUUUUUUGGGUUGUUUUGGAUACCUUGACAAAAGGCAUGUUGAUGUGGCAUCAUAUUUGAUGAUGUGGCCCUGAAACCUUAGUUAUAAGCAGGGGACUUGCCAAGUAAGCUGCUGUAAAAAAAUUGGAAGCGAUUUGAAAUUUUCACGUAAAAAUUUUGAGAAAUGUGAAAUUAAGAUACUCAACUACUAGAUCCUCUCCCCUAACAUAAUUUUUUAAAAUAAAUACCCAAAUUUAUUUAUUUUUCUCUUUCUCAAAUAUACACUAAAAUUUGUUCAGCUUUUUUCAUUAAAAUCGAGGUUUAGUCUCUACUCCUAGGAUAUACUAAACAAUGGCUCAACCUUCCUUUCAUCUCAAAUCAGCUUUGACACAAUCAAUUUCUUCUUGGAUGACAGCUCGAAUGACCUUUCUUUGACCUGUAAAUUCUCCUUUAAUCAAAUUGUGGAUAAAUCCUUAUUUGGAACAGGUUGACAUCUAAUUUUCUAAGAACUUUGACGGAUGCAAACUAAAGCUUAAAAAAACAAAUCAGUCUGCCUUUAUCUUUAGCCAUUCACAAAUGAUAGUGUCAUCAUUUUAACAUAAUGAAUAUUUAUAGUCUUUCAAAUUCAAAUUUUGUUUGCCUGCUAUUUCUUUUUGCACGCAAACAUUUAGGCUUAUAUAAUCUUUUAAACAUAUUUAAAAUUUUUUUUUUCAAUUGAAUCCAUCAAUCUACUGCAUGGAAUUUUUCAUUGAUUGCUUAUUCUACUCUCUAUUCCAACAUGUCUUUUGAUGGUGAUUUUUCAAUUCACAAGUAGAACAAUGAUGAAGAUCUCAGCAGUUUUCCUUUCUAUGUCCUUCUCUUUAGAAAAUGAGCAAUACAUAGAUUAUAUUCUUUCUUCUGAUUUGGGUGAAUCUGUAACACUUGUAACAUAUCUCUAUCUUUUAACCAUAUUCAAGACUCUCAUUUGGUCUCGUAAAUGAUUGAACAGACUUUCUAAUUCUUGCUCAUAUUUUUCAACCCUUUUUUUCUAUAGUCUAUUUUUUUCAUGAUCUUAAAAUAAACAUAUUUUUUAUACCAUAAUUUGUUAUUAAUAUCACAAUCUACAAAAAUUAUAGAUUCAAACAUAUCCUUACUUUCAACAUCACUCUCUUUAUCGAAAAAAGUUUUAAUUACAUCACUUGUAUCAAACAAAGAACAUAAAUCACUUGCUUCACAUAUUGAAGGCAUCAAUCUUAGACGCUCAUUUUUCUUCCUGCAUGUUGCAAGCAAUUGAUCUAAGUAGGUAUUUUUUCUUUAUACUUUUCUAUUUAUCUUUCUAAAAACCAAUAUUAUUAUAUAUUUAAACCACUUUAACAUUCUUCCAAUUCUUUAUUUUCCUUUUUGAUUUUCACCAAAUUAUAUUUAGGAUCAUUUCACAUAUUAAAUUUCCAUUUUCUUUCUUCACUAUUUCGCCAGUCUUUCUUAUUGAAAGAAAUAAUCUAGAUUUACUCGAAACUACCUUUGAUUGACAGCUUUCAAUCUGCCAUCACCUAAAGAACUCUGAACAUUUAGCUGAUCGAAUUCACAAAUACCUACGAACUGUCUUAUGGUGAUGACAAUCUUUCAGACUUCUACGACUUUCAAACCUAAUCUGAUCUCCUUUGGUGGUAGAGGCUAGUAGCUUUGAAAAACUGCAAAUCUUUCUCCUUUCUGUCUUUUGGCAACGGCUCUCAUACCAAAUGUAGAUUUUCAAUCACACAUGAAAAUUGCUAAACCAAACACCAAACUGAUUUCGUACACACAAUGUAUCUUUAUUUCAUUCAACUUGAUUACAACAUCCCUCGAUAGAGAUCUUCUUCCUCAGACUUACAGACUUGAAAACAGGGGAACUCUAUAUAUGAAUAACAGUCCUAAAUGUAGACUGCAACUGAACUUGUUUGUACUAUCCAUUUAGCAUGCACAAAACAAAUCACCUAAAAUAAAAUUCUAAUUAUAGAACUUAGAAAUUUCCUAAACCAAAAUCGAAAUUGAUCCGAUACACACAAGGAUCUUUCUUUCAUUCAACUAGAUUACACCAUGUCUCGAUAGAAAUCUUCUUCCUCGUCUUAUAGACUUAACAACAGGGGAUUUUAUAUAUAAAUAAGUCCUAAAAAUAUACUGUAAUUGAACUUGUUUGUUCUAUCCAUUUAGCAUGCACAAAUCAAAUCACCUAAAAUAAAACCUUAAGUAUAGAACUCUAAAUAUAUAACGGAUUAUGCGUUAUGCGUGUGAUCCAUCACAUACCUACAGUUAUGCGUGGAAAGACAAGGGAAGAAUGCCUACUUCAAUCACUGUGUUCUCUACAUUGGCUGCGGUGCUUGCCUGUUCAACAGCUUCGGCCCUAUCGCAGGGUUCUGAAACUUCGAUUUUAAAAAAUUGACUUAUGAAGUUUGAGAUAAUGUUUUAUCUGUAACUAAUAAUAGCAAAUCUUAAACUGAAACAUGGUAUGCAGCAGUAACACAGGACAUGAAGCUAAUUUUUGAAUCUAUCAUCCAUUCAGGUCGGAAUCCUGUGAAUGAUGCCAUAAGCUGAGACAAAUACUCUUGUUAGCAAUCUAAAUGCUAAUCAGUUUUUACGGACCACUCUCCUUAAAUGUUAUAGUCAAUUUUAUCUUUCAAUUUGAGUAAAAUGUUAUAGAUAUUUAUCUUAUUUUUAUUGAUUAAGAUUUAUUUUCUAUCAUUGAAAUGAGUGUUCUUUAAAAAUUAUUAGGUUAUACGAUGAACAAGAUUUUAAGAUGCAACACUAAGGAUAUAAGUUAAAUUAGUAUAGAGAAUAAAUUUAACAUUGAUGUGGAUGGUUUAAUGAAUAGUUUAAAAGUAGUUGUUAUUUAAUUUCUUAUAUGAAUAUAUGAAGACAGUUUUUCUAAAAUAGAAUUAUCAUAAAUAAAGAAUUGCAUAUCAUUAGAGGUAGGAGUUAAUGAUAGUUGAUUUUUUUAAGUAUGAAUGAAAAAUUGGAUACUAGAUAAGCAUAUGGUUUUUUUUUUAAUCGGUAAAGGCAGAGCCGAGAUUUAUAUUAAUUUGAAUUAAUUACAGUAAUUUCUUAGCUGAGAUUCAUAGCAUUAAAAACCUAUUCUCAGCGAUCCCAACAAAACAUGGUUUCCACAAUAGAUAGGAGACCAUUAAACUUAUGAUUUGUCCACUUUUUUAACAGAACCAUCAAAAUUAAGCAGUCUAAAGAAAAUGGAACUAGAAACGUUUAUAUGGCAGAUUCCCAACUACCUAGAAACAGAGAGUUUAAGCAUAAUAAGAAACCAAAAUAAACUUUAUACAAUUAUGUGUUAAGUAUCAAGAAGGGAAAUUGACACAGCAACGAAAAGAAAGCCUAGCUUGCAGUGGGAGGAUCAGGUUGGUGUAGAUCAAUUCUUGCUCUUCCUCGACCUCUGCCUGCUAGACGACCCCGACCACGACCCGCAACCCUACGGCCUCUGCUUGAACCACCCCCGCGACUCUGUUUAGCUUGGGGCUCUGCAUCUACAGCUUUCAUAGGUAGGAUUCCGUUAAGGCUUGCAAAUUGGAAGAGGUCCUCCUCUUUUCCCUGAUCCUCCGGAUUUUCUCCUAAAAACCGCCAUUUGAGAUAACUCAAACCAACUCCAGCAAAUACUCUGUGUCUGUCCAAAUAUUUCCCUUUCAAAUCCAGUAGGAAAGGGUAGUAUUUAAUGAGCUCUCUGUGAGCAUUGAAGAGGAUCCGGUUGCUUGGCCGAGGUGCCCCAGAGUCGUGGAGGGCCUUAUUCAAAAUUUCUUGGAAAUCCUGAAGAAUUUCCUCAGGAAAAAGCUCCUUGGUAAGGCUCCAAACAGCUUGCUUGGGUAGCUUUUGGUCCAACAGAGAAGCCACAAAUAUAGAAGAGAUGCAGGUUUUGUCUCACGGGUACUCUUCCCUGCUCAAAUGGGCACUACCCAGAAUCAUCUUUACUGCAAGCAAAACUGGAGGGUCCGCGUGGAUGAGGAGACGCUUUAGUCUCAAAUCCGUGAUCUUUCUGAAAGAGACCUGACGAGUGGAGGCAUUGAGGGAAAUGGGAGUGUCUGCACCAAAGCAUGAGGAGGGCCUUGGGUAGACACUCAUAAUGAAUCCAAACGGUGGCUCAGUAGACAUGAUGAUCAGAGGAAAGAAGACAAGUGAGAAAGGAAAACCAUAGUGAAUAAUGCAGAUUUUGCAGGAAAGAAAUGAAGGCAGCCUGUAGAAAACGCUUCGACAGGAUAAUUGGGCGCACACCUCAACACCUAAUAAUCGGGCAUAUGGUUUUACAAAGCAAACAAAAUAGAAUUACACGAAAUCUCAUAUCAUUUAUGAUUCUUUAUUACGUUAUCACUAUAAUAUUUUCAUAGAUGAUUGUAUUUGAUUUUCUUUAUAGUUAGAAGUUUGAUUUACUAUGUUAAUGAGUCACAUGGGUUCUAUUUUUAUCAUGAGAAAAUAAAACUAUAGCAAGAUUCCAUUGGUUACAAGCAUUUAGAGUGUAACUCAGUUAAUUUUUUGAUUUUUUAAUUUUGUUUGUCAUUCAAUUACAAGUUCAUGGUACCUAUUCAAGAUUAAUUUCUAAGAGUUAAGGCUUUGUCUAAGACAUUUUUAAUAGGGAGUAUAAUAAGUUGUUAGGAGUAGAGUGUUUGUGGGACACCAAAAAAAGGUGGAAGUUUGCCUUGGUAAUCCCUUUUGAAUUUAGCACUCUCUCACCUCUAAAUUCUAUGAUACAUGAAUCCAUUGAAAUAGCAAGUGAAAUUGGUUAGUGUUUUAUUAUUGAUUUUGAUGACUCUUGCAUCUCAUUUCAACAUUAUCAUUCGAGUUGAUACUUAAUUAGAAUAGUUAUGUUAUGUACUGAUGCCUUUUUAAAAAUGUCUUAUGAAAUGAAAGGUGAAUUAUAAUGAACAAUUUAAUUAACACGUGGAAAAAAGAGUAAUGUUAAAUCUAGGUUUAAACAAAUGGAUACUAAUGCGUUUUGUGUUCCCUAAAGUGGGUGUUGAUCAUAGGAUUGGCAAGGGUAGUGGAUACCUUCAAAGAAACUAUAUAGAAUGGAUGAAUACUCAUGGUUAGAAGCACAUGAAGUAAACCCUAGCCAAUGUAAAUAUAAAUUUGAGUAAAAAGUUAAACUCCCUUCAAUGAUUUUAUCUCCCUUAAGAUAGGGAUUAAUUGUUGGUCCUAUUGAAUUACUUGACACAUUAGUAAAGUGAGUUAUUUAUAAUGAUGGAAAUAUUAAGACUAACAAUUAUGGUCAAUUGUACUUGUAUUGGAUAUAAUGGUGAUGGCUAGUGUGCAUGAAUAAUUAUGUCAAAGUAAACAUGAACUAGAUCUAGAAUAAAUAAAAUACUUACUUGUAACCUUAUAUAUUGUGAAUCAUUUUUUUAUCCACAAGGUAAUUAGAGUUUUGUUGUUUAAUGUUUUAUGAAAUUGUGAUUGGAGUUAUAUAAUAUUAGAAUUUAUGUGUAAUGUUGUUUAGUGGAGGUAUGAAAUGUGAAAUCAUGUAAUUAAGCAUGUAAAUAUGGAUAAGUGUUGAGAACGUUCAUUAUAUUUUAAUUUUGGAUCUGUACUUGAAUGGGUUGUAAAAGGGUGUUGAAAGGUCAAUUCUAUUGAUCUUAGGUCAAAAUUAGACCCCUAGGAUUUAUACCUAUGGGUUGGAGACUAUGAAGAUAUGUGAUACUAUCCUUAGGGCUUAGUACAUCCCUUCUUAAGUCCGGAAACCAUGUAACAAUGAAUUUGAAGUUCUUAAAAAAGUGACAAGUCACUCUCCAUCCCCCACUCUCCCCCACUCUCCAUGGUUCAUUAAUGAACUUGGGAUUCACAACAAGACUCGCAACUGUAUGAGCCACCUUGUAAAGGUCGUCGAAAAGAGUAUACAAAUAUGCUUCACACCUCCCCCAUUCAUUUCGAGUCAAGUUGAAUUCCUAUAUAUUAUUCGUGUCUUGAAGGGUUUGGGGGUUUCACUUCAUUGUUUUUUCUUUUUGGUUUUUAUUGCAUUCUUGUUGAGUAUUAAAAUAGAGAUUUUGAGAAGGAAAGAGAAGAAGGAAGCUAUUGGACUGGACUUCUCAAGCUUGACGUGGAGUUGGAGAAAAGAGACUCACCCCUAUGAAAUAUGUAGAAUGAUAUGUCUCAUUUCACCUUACUUUUGUUGAGUUAGUUUAUUUUAAUUGGACCUGUAAUAUACCAUCACAAUGAUUGAAAACAAAAAACUUCUUUAUUUUAAUUGGACCUGUAAUAUACCAUCACAAUGAUUGAAAACAAAAAACUUCUAUCAUAUCUUGCAGAUUUUAGAUCCAUGUGUUCUCCUAUUUCCAUUUUUACCAGUAUGUGCGUAUGCACAAAAUGCUCUAGAGUUUAUAAUUGUUGUGGGAGGAGGCUCUAUAAAAUCUUGGUGGAAUGACAAAAGGAUGUGGAUGAUAAAAGGCGUGUCGUCCUAGAUGUAAAUUACUUGGAACAUCCAAAGUGGGUUUCGAAGUGACAAGCAAAGUGUUUGAUAGCGAAUCGGCCAAAUGAUCCGAGGCAGAGAUUUUUGAGCUCGGAGUUUCAUCUACGUUGUUUAUACCCUUUUCUUUCUGGCCACCCUUAAACAUCACACACUAAGCGUUGUGGGCCGGUGUGGGCCCAUUCCCUUUGCCACCAUCCGUUCCUAUUUGUUCAAACAUUGCUCCCGCACAGUAAGUACGGUUGCUUUCGGUACGUGUUUGGUGACAGUCGGGGGCAGCUUUUAUUUCCCAGCUUGUACCAAAAUGGGAGCUCUGGCAUCAAGGAAAGGCGAUUAUGGUGAGCUCUUACAGUUGGAAAUGCUCUGGCAAACGUAAAUGCUCUGGUAAACGUAUGCAAAAUGUGGAAGCAUAGACAACACACUUAACUGUAUAUUUCCAUUUUCAUAUUAUUGAUGAUUUC